rnacentral:rRNA from 1 species
GAUGAACGCUGGCGGCGUGCCUAAUACAUGCAAGUCGAGCGAACGGACGAGAAGCUUGCUUCUCUGAUGUUAGCGGCGGACGGGUGAGUAACACGUGGAUAACCUACCUAUAAGACUGGGAUAACUUCGGGAAACCGUAGCUAAUACCGGAUAAUAUUUUGAACCGCAUGGUUCAAAAGUGAAAGACGGUCUUGCUGUCACUUAUAGAUGGAUCCGCGCUGCAUUAGCUAGUUGGUAAGGUAACGGCUUACCAAGGCAACGAUGCAUAGCCGACCUGAGAGGGUGAUCGGCCGCACUGGAACUGAGACGGAGUCCAGACUCCUACGGGAGGCAGCAGUAGCGAACCUUCCGCAAAGGUCGAGAGCCUGACGGAGCAACGCGGCGUGGGUGAUGAAGGUCUUCGGUUCGUAAAACUCUGUUAUUAGGGAUGAACAUAUGUGGAAGUAACUGUGGACAUCUUGACGGUACCUAAUCAGGAAGCCACGGCUAACUACGUG